rnacentral:lncRNA from 1 species
CUGACUCGUGUGGACAGCAUUUGCUCUCAAGCUCCAUCACCCAAGCAGUGGGUCAGAAACCCAAGCAGUGUCAGGGCCUUCAGUUCUGUCACUGGACGUGGAAGUGGAAACGUGAUAGUUUUGCAGCAGAACUGUGGGAGGAGUGCAUUUUCUGUGGGUAAGGGGCCAAGUUUAGAAGCUCUGGGUGUAGGGAUGGAGGUUGUGAUGGUUUGGGAGGAUAGAAGUUAGAUGAGGAUUUGGGUUUGGAGGCACUGAAAUGCAGUUGUAUGGUAAAUGCACGAGGUUGGGAUUGUUGCAGACAGAAAGAGCUGCUGCAGGUUCAUGGUGCAGCACAGAGCAGGAAGCCUCUGCUGCCAUCACUGAUGUAUUUUAAUUGCUGGUUUUUUGCAGACUAAAGAAGAUCUCCAGGAAAUAUUCAUUUUUUACCAGAAGAUUUCUGAAUUUCUAUCCUUUAUACGGCUUCCAGAUGUUAUCUGGUGGAGAGCAGAACUGUGCAGUUGCUUCCAAAGCCACCUGUAUCCACUUCUUGCUGAAAUUCCCUCUGCCCUGCUCGGUUACAUCACUACUGUUAAUCCUCAUCCUCAGGCAGUGGAGAAGGUGUUUCCAGUGCCAAGAGGAUUUUACUGGCAGACUGCUGAAAGUGAUGAAAAAGACUUCCCUAAUGGCAGUGACACGGAGGUUGCCAUGGUAUUGCCGUUGGAAGCUCUCUCCCGAAGAUCCCUAGCUACCCAUCACAUGUUGCAGCUGGCGCUCAGCUCUGGGCUGGAUACCUGUGGACUCCACCUGCUCUGCUCUCAGCGUGAUGUGCUGCUCUCUAGCUCAGGAAAACUGCUGCCUCCCUAUGCUUCAGAGACCGACGAGGUGCUGCCAUUAGGUGUGAGAGGGCCUAAAGGAGUUAGCACCAUGCAGAAUAUCACUGGGCCAUCAGACCCGCAGCUGGCUGGCAUGACAGACUGCAGCUCCAUCAGUGCCAUCUACUGCACGAGCCACGCAGAGCCUCUUGUCUACCUGCCCCAGCAGGACAGCUGUGUGCGCAGGGAGCUGUGCCUCUGGUUUGGAGGGAGGGCUGCUGAUGCAGCACUGCAUGGUGGCAUCCUGGAUCCGACUUCCAGAUGCAACAGAACAAGGUGA